rnacentral:rRNA from 1 species
AGCGUAUAUUAAAGUUGUUGCAGUUAAAAAGCUCGUAGUUGAAUUUCGGGGUUAGUAGGUUGGUCAUGCCUCUGGUAUGUACUGAUCUCACUGAUUCCUCCCUCUUGACGAACUGUAAUGUCAUUAAUUUGGUGUUGCAGGAAAUCAGGACUGUUACUUUGAAAAAAUUAGAGUGUUUAAAGCAGGCUUAGGCUUGAAUACAUUAGCAUGGAAUAAUGAAAUAGGACGUUUGAACCUAUUUUGUUGGUUUCUAGGAUCGACGUAAUGAUUAAUAGGGAUAGUUGGGGGCAUUAGUAUUCAAUUGUCAGAGGUGAAAUUCUUGGAUUUAUUGAAGACUAACUACUGCGAAAGCAUUUGCCAAGGAUGUUUUCAUUAAUCAAGAACGAAAGUUAGGGGAUCGAAGACGAUCAGAUACCGUCGUAGUCUUAACCAUAAAC